GCCCGCACCGCCACCGCGGAACGCCGCGCUUAAAGAGUCAAUACUGAGUUUGAAGUGACUGAAUAAUCAGCCUAUAUGAAUUGUCUGCAUGGAACAACUACAGGCUCACUGAAUAUGAACUGCAUCAUUGGCAUCCCUUGUGUCAGAAGAUAAGAAAGAGGAGAAUAUCAAGGUA